rnacentral:lncRNA from 1 species
GUAGCAGGGGGGGGGGCGCGCGGAGCGGGAGGGUCGGGGGGGGGCGCCCUCCCGGCGCCUGCCUGGCCCUCCCAGCAGCCGCAGCCUCACCUGACGUGAACAGCACGAUGGCUUUGAGGCAGCUGUACUCGGCCGAGUCGACGUGCAGCGCCUUGAGCUUCUCCACCUGCUCCUGGAAGAUGCGGAUGUGGUCCAUGAAGGCCACGACGCGGUCGGCGGACAUGGGCGAGGCGUGCAGGCCGGCGGCGAUCAGGGCGCGCUGGUGUCGGGCGGCCAGGUCCAGGGCCGGACGCAGCCAGCCAUUCAGGAAGGCAGCGCUGGAGAGCGGGAGGCAGCCAGCGAGGAGGAUCACACACUUUGCUCUUUUUGUUGUACCGGUGGCGCCGGGCUCUCGCUGCCUUCUUCUUUCGGGAGGUGACGGAGGGGGAGAAAAACACGAAAUAAUUCACGCCGGCGACGAAUUCACAGCGGAACAGAAAAAAUCAAAAUCAGAAGAAAAAGAAUUGCGCAAAAAAAAAAAAAAAAAAGCGAGAGAGACAUCCAAAAGUACAAAGGCAGGCUGUCGAGGGCAGAGGAAGCAGGCAGAGAGGGAGACCGGGAGAAGGAAAAGAGAACUUGGAAAGAGACGGAGCGAGUGCAAGAGGCAGCGCGAAGCGAGCGCCAGGGAACCGGAGGCUCCCCGCGCCUGGACGCCCUGCUCUCGGGCCCGGCCGCCCUCGGACCCAGGACCGGAAGUCUUGGGCGCCAGAAGCCAGAGCCGGCCCAUCUCUGCCGCACCAGGCAAGUAAGGCGAUGAUUAUCGUUUCUUUUGAACUCGGGGUGGUUGUUGCAACGCGGACAGGCCGGGAGGCAGCGAUUGCUCGCACGGGUUCCGCAGGCCGGGGGGCGGGGGCGGGGCCCUCGGUCUAGCCAGAGGGGAGGGUCGAGAAGAACUUAUCGCGGGGGGGCCUGCUCCGGAGCCGCCCUCCCCCCGGCCUCUGUCCCGCGGCGGCGUGGAGAACAGGGAUCGCGGCCCGCGGGGCCGCCCCGGAGCUGAGGAUCGCGCCCCACCGAGCAUCGGCCCAGAUUCAAAACUGAUUGCCCUCCCAUCUCCAUUUUGCCACCCUCCUCCCCACCAGCGGGAAGAGGCUGCGGAGCCUCUUGGAGGAGGGGGGGCAGACGGAGGGUCCACAGGUUGGGCAAUCCGGGCCGCCGCCCCUC